CUGAAACUCACAUUCCCUUCAUAUUACAAUAGUUACAACAAGUCCUGCUGUAAACUCUACCCAGGAGGAUGCUACAAGCUGCUGGACAGUGCAGGAUUCACUUGUGAGUUACUGAAAGGAAGAGUUACGACAACUGAGAAAGACGGCUGGAUAGAAUUUAAAAUAUCAAAUGUGCGCUUUGUGGACGGAGGAUAUUACAGAUGUAUUGUGCUGGGAACUCAGAACCGCAUCUACAGUGAUUACUAUGUCGAGGUGUCUGAGGUUUCUGUUCAGCACAGCCAGACUCAGCCUUUACUGACAACAACUGUCAAAAACCCCAACAACUCCACAAUGCUCCCAGGCUCCUCUUGGCCUGCUCUGGCACAGGACCACAGUGACAGGGACAGAGUUCCAUGGAGUUUGGGCCUGCCACUAGCUGUCAUUGUGUCCAUUGCAGUGAUGAUUUUGAUCACUUCAAUUAUUGGUGUUGUUUGCUGCAGAGUCGAGGCAAGACGUAAACAGCCGGAAACUCUAUGUGAGUCACUGAAACCAGAAGCCCCGGACACGAGCGGCAUAGUCUACACAACAGUGGACUUCAGAGCUCACCUGAGACCAACAGAGGUGUAUGCAAACCUGAGGAUGCACCAAACACAAGCGGGAAGCCCCGACUCGACCUGGAGCGCAGAGCCCAAUGGGAUGGUGGAGUACUCCACACUGGCAAUCCACCAGUGAAUCCACCUGUGAGAAUCUAGUUCAUUUCUGAUUUUAAUGGCACCGCUUUUGUUUUUUCAAUUUACUAGUCAUGGUUAGCACUACUUAGACAGUACAGAGUUUGAAAGGGAUUUAUCAGGCAGACAGGAGCUAACAAAAACAUGCAUUUGGUUGCAUUAUGGGAAAUGUACUGUAGGAUCCAGCAUUUGUUGGAGCUUGACCCAUAUUAGGGACUAACAAUGAACUAUUCUUUUGUCUUUAGUGAGUCUCUAACUUUAUGGAGGUGCAAUAUUAAAUCACUGAACUACACCAUAUAUAUAACAUGUGUUGUUUGUGAAAAUGAGAAGACAUACAAAUGAAAUGAUGCAUGAAUGAAAUGAACAUAGUCUGG
rnacentral:lncRNA from 1 species